rnacentral:rRNA from 1 species
GAUGAACGCUGGCGGCGUGCCUAAUACAUGCAAGUCGAGCGAACAGACGAGGAGCUUGCUCCUCUGACGUUAGCGGCGGACGGGUGAGUAACACGUGGAUAACCUACCUAUAAGACUGGGAUAACUUCGGGAAACCGGAGCUACUACCGGAUAAUAUAUUGAACCGCAUUGUUCAAUAGUGAAAGACGGUUUUUCUGUCAGUUAUAGCUGGAUCCGGCCUGAAUUCACUAGUUGGCAAGGUAGCAGCUUACCAAGGCAAGGAUGGGUAGCCGACCCGAGAGGGUGGACGGACACACGGGCAGUGAGACACGGCCGAGACUCCUAGGGGGGGCCGCAGUCGGGACUCCUCCGGGAGGGAGGAGAGGGUGACGGAGCAAAGCCGCGGGAGUGAUGAAGGUGUUCGGAUGGUAAAACGAUGUUAGUAGUGAAGAACAAAUGUGCAAGUAACUAGGAACGUCUUGACGGUACCGGAUCAGAAAGCCACGGCUAACUACGUG